rnacentral:rRNA from 1 species
AGUGAACGCUGGCGGUAGGCCUAACACAUGCAAGUCGAACGGCAGCACAGGAGAGCUUGCUCUCUGGGUGGCGAGUGGCGGACGGGUGAGGAAUGCAUCGGAAUCUACUCUUUCGUGGGGAUAACGUAGGGAAACUUACGCUAAUACCGCAUACGACCUACGGGUGAAAGCCGGGGACCUUCGGGCCUGGCGCGAAUGAAUGAGCCGAUGCCCGAUUAGCUAGUUGGCGGGGUAAGAGCCCACCAAGGCGACGAUCGGUAGCUGGUCUGAGAGGAUGAUCAGCCACACUGGAACUGAGACACGGUCCAGACUCCUACGGGAGGCAGCAGUGGGGAAUAUUGGACAAUGGGCGCAAGCCUGAUCCAGCCAUACCGCGUGGGUGAAGAAGGCCUUCGGGUUGUAAAGCCCUUUUGUUGGGAAAGAAAAGCAAUCGGUUAAUACCCGGUUGUUCUGACGGUACCCAAAGAAUAAGCACCGGCUAACUUCGUGCCAGCAGCCGCCGCGGUAA